rnacentral:rRNA from 1 species
CGCCUGGGGAGUACGGCCGCAAGGUUAAAACUCAAAUGAAUUGACGGGGGCCCGCACAAGCGGUGGAGGAUGUUGUUCAAUUCGAUGCAACGCGAAGAACCUUACCCACCCUUGACAUCCUCGGAAUCCUGCAGAGAUGCGGGAGUGCCUUCGGGAGCCGAGUGACAGGUGCUGCAUGGCAGUCGUCAGCUCGUGUCGUGAGAUGUUGGGUUAAGUCCCGUAACGAGCGCAACCCUUGUCCUUAUUUGCCAGCGGGUAAUGCCGGGAACUCUAAGGAGACUGCCGGUGACAAACCGGAGGAAGGUGGGGAUGAUGUCAAGUCAUCAUGGCCCUUACGGGUGGGGCUACGAACGUCCUACAAUGGGGAGUACAAAGGGCAGCGACGGCGCGAGCCCGAGCCAAUCCCAAAAACUUCUCGUAGUCCGGAUUGGAGUCUGCAACUCGACUCCAUGAAGUCGGAAUCGCUAGUAAUCGCGAAUCAGCAUGUCGCGGUGAAUACGUUCCCGGGCCUUGUACACACCGCCCGUCAUACCAUGGGAGUGGGUUGCACCAGAAGUGGCUAGUCUAACCUUCGGGAGGA